rnacentral:rRNA from 1 species
CAGCAGCCACGGUAAUACGUAGGGUGCGAGCGUUGUCCGGAAUUAUUGGGCGUAAAGGGCUCGCAGGCGGUUUCUUAAGUCUGAUGUGAAAGCCCCCGGCUCAACCGGGGAGGGUCAUUGGAAACUGGGAAACUUGAGUGCAGAAGAGGAGAGUGGAAUUCCACGUGUAGCGGUGAAAUGCGUAGAGAUGUGGAGGAACACCAGUGGCGAAGGCGACUCUCUGGCCUGUAACUGACGCUGAGGAGCGAAAGCGUGGGGAGCGAACAGGAUUAGAUACCCCCGUAGUCCCUGUCUCUUAUAC